GGAUUUAGCUCAAUGGUAGAGCGCUUGCCUAGCAAGCGCAAGGCCCUGGGUUCGGUCCCCAGAUCCG
rnacentral:tRNA from 1 species